rnacentral:rRNA from 1 species
UUGACCUCAGAUCAGGUAGGACUACCGCCUGAACUUAAGCAUAUCAAUAAGGCGAGGAACAGAAACCAACAGGGAUUCCCCUAGUAGUGGCGAAUGAAGCGGGAAAAGCUCAAGUUUGAAAUCCGGUGGGGUCAUCCCCUCCAGAGUUGUAAGCUGAAGAGGCGUCGACCGACGUUGUCCGGGCCCAAUUUCCUUGGAACAGGAGGUCAUGGAGGGUGAGAACCCCGUCUGUGGCUCAGAGCCAACGUCCUUGUGUCGUGUCCUCGAAGAGUCGGGUUGUUUGGGAAUGCAGCUCAAAAUGGGUGGUAAAUUCCAUCUAAGGCUAAAUAUUGGCGAGAGACCGAUAGGAAACAAGUAGAGUGAUCGAAAGAUGAAAAGUACUUUGAAAAGAGAGUGAAACAGUACGUGAAAUUGUUGAAAGGGAAGCGUUUGGCAUCAGCCCAUGGUGUCCGUCGAUCACUCGAGCUUCUGUUCGAUGCACUUGACGGACGUCGGGCCAGCGUCGGCUUUGCCUGCCGGAGAAAGGUCUCGGGAACGUGGCACCCCUCGGGGUGUGUUAUAGCCCUUGGCGUCAUACGGUGUGGCGGGGCCGAGGUCCGCGGUUUAUACCU